rnacentral:rRNA from 1 species
GGGGAAUUUUCCGCAAUGGGCGAAAGCCUGACGGAGCAAUACCGCGUGAGGGAAGAAGGUCUUUGGAUCGUAAACCUCUUUUCUCAGGGAAGAAGUUCUGACGGUACCUGAGGAAUAAGCCUCGGCUAACUCCGUGCCAGCAGCCGCGGUAAUACGGAGGAGGCAAGCGUUAUCCGGAAUUAUUGGGCGUAAAGCGUUCGCAGGUGGCUCGUCAAGUCUGCUGUCAAAGACCGGAGCUUAACUCCGGGUAGGCGGUGGAAACUGAAGAGCUAGAGUGCGGUAGGGGUAGAGGGAAUUCCCAGUGUAGCGGUGAAAUGCGUAGAGAUUGGGAAGAACACCCCGGUGGCGAAAGCCGCUCUACUAGGCCGCAACUGACACUCAAGGACGAAAGCUAGGGGAGCGAAAUGGGAUUAGAUACCCCAGUAGUC